rnacentral:tRNA from 2 species
GGCCUCAUGGUCAAGCGGUUAAGACGCCGCCCUCUCAAGGCGGAAUCCGGAGUUCGAUUCUCCGUGGGGCUACCA